rnacentral:tRNA from 1 species
AUUAGCUCAGCCGGUAGAGCAUCUGACUUUUAAUCAGAGGGUCAGAGGUUCGAAUCCUCUAU